GAUGAAGAACGCAGCGAAAUGCGAUAAGUAAUGUGAAUUGCAGAAUUCAGUGAAUCAUCGAAUCUUUGAACGCACAUUGCGCCCCCUGGUAUUCCGGGGGGCAUGCCUGUUCGAGCGUCAUUUCACCACUCAAGCCUCGCUUGGUAUUGGGCAACGCGGUCCGCCGCGUGCCUCAAAUCGACCGGCUGGGUCUUCUGUCCCCUAAGCGUUGUGGAAACUAUUCGCUAAAGGGUGCUCGGGAGGCUACGCCGUAAAACAAACCCAUUUCUAAGGUUGACCUCGGAUCAGGUAGUGAUACCCGCUGAACUUAAGCAUAUCAAUAAGCGGAGGA
rnacentral:misc_RNA from 1 species